UGCCAACAGCCAGAGAGGCAGGAGCUCCUGAGGGAGAGAUGCAAGAAGCAGCCGCAGCAGAAAAAAAAAUCCCAUGCUGGGAGAAGUCCAGUUUUCUGGAGUUGAUGUUUAAAGAGUAGAUUUUGCUAUCUAGCAGGACUAAACAAAGGAGAAAACUAAAACACUUCUAUGACUUGUAUCAAUUGAAUGUGCUGCUGACAUUGGAAGAAUUAUACACAGAAACCUGAACCUAUUCUUCUUGGCUAAGUACAGACAUAGAGGAUGUUAGGAGGACGUUAAACUGAUUCAAAAUUGCUACUUAAUAUCAGAAACAGGGGCUUGCUCUUUGUUUGUAGAGUGCACCUGUACCACUUUUCCAGUGAUUUUAAAAGCACAGCCAAGAAGAACUUUUCUAUCCUGCUCCUAUGAUGCACACAUUAUCCACGUGUCCCCAUACCUAUGAAAAUGGAGAGAUCAGAUGGUCUAACAUCCUGCCUUCUGUGAGAUGAGAUUCUACCAGCUUGCCAGGGAUGGAAGUGGGAGUCACUGGUCUGUAGAUCCCACGAUUACCUAUGGAACCCUUUUUUGAAGAUGGGUGUUAUGUUGGCACAGAGGCUGUUUGCAACAAUAGGUUAUAUACCAUUGCCAACAGUCCUCCAAAUUCACCGUUUGUAUUCCUUCAGAACUCUAAAAUGAAUGCCAUCCAGUCCUGGUGACUUAAUAGUAUUUAAUUUAUCAAUUUAAUUUUUUUUCUAAGACUUCUAUUGUCCAGCUCUUGUGACCUAUCUGUUGGGAAGGAUUGCUCCAACAUGAGAAUUUCCCCAGUAUCUUCUGUGGUAACAUCUGGUGCAAAGAAUUCAUUCAUCUUCUCUGUUAUGGCUUUAUCAUCCCCAAGUGCACCUUUUAUACCCUGAUUAGAUAAUGGUCCUAGCAAUUUUUUUUAUUUAUUUAUUUAUUUUUGCUGGUUUCCCACUCUUGAUGGAUUUUGAAAAGUUUUAAAACAGUUUUAUUAACUUUUAGCAGCUUUUGAUAAAUGUUCCUCAAAUAAUUUUUUGGUCCACCUUAUUUUGCUUUUAUAGUUGACCUGCCAGAGUUUGAGCGUUCCUGUUUUCCUCAUUUGGGCACACAUUCCCCUUCUUCUUCUUCUUCUUUUUUUUUUUUUUUUAAGAUGCCUUUUUGCCUACUUAACUCUGCUAUUAAACCAUGCAGGGGUUUUAUUGGUCUGGUUGUGGUCUCUUUUUGAUUUGUGGUAUACACUUUUCCUGAGCUUCUAAUAUGGUAUUUUUAAACAGUUUCCAAGCUGCUUGGAGGUUUCUUAGGUUUUCUGACAGGUCUUUUUAACUGCUUUCUAACUAACAUCCUCAUUUUUGUGUAAUUUCUUUUCCUAAAGUUGUAUAUUGGCAUGGUGAACUUUUUGGCUUACUCCCUCCAGCUAAAUUGUUGAAUGUGAUUAUUACUAACUACCUCUUUCAACUUGAGUGAUCUAGGUCAGCUAUCUUCCAGUUUUUUAAUUAUAUGGUUCUAAAAUUAUCUCUUUUAUAUCUGUCUGACUUCCUCAAACAUUAUUUACCUAUUUUCCCAAAAAGAACCUUCCAGUAUUUGUGAAACAAUGCCUCUUUUAGCCACAACACUUAACAUGACUAAUGGAAGGCUGCCCAGUCAUAAAUAACAUACAUGUGAUUAUUCUAAGUAAGUUGGAAUUUCUGGUGUAAAACAUUUGAUGCUUGCAGCAAUCAGAACACCAGUCACCAUUGUAAGGAGUUGUAAGAAUGGGAACAGCUGCUGCCACUCCUAUUGUCCAGGGGGGCAAAAACUGCUUCUUAUGUCUCCAGGUAUUUGUCCCAUUCUCACACUUUUUCCAUUAAAUAAUAUAAAUAACACUGAUACAGUUCAGAAAUGCUUCAUGCAUUUUUUAAUACAGAAUUAGAAUGGUUGCAUGUACACAUGUGCAUGGGUUUGUAUCUGUUUGUUUAUAGACAUGCUCACCUUGAAGAAUUUUCAGCAAACGUUUUUCCUGGUUGUUUAGACCCUAUGGCUAGGGAAAGAAAUUACACACAAAUUGGUUUAAGUGAUCAGAAACUGGUUUAAACCUGUAACAGAACAGACAUUCAGUCCACAUAAACCAGUUUGAAAAUGGCUGAAAUAGGUUGGAGAUAAACCUGGUUGAAUGUAGUAUCAGACUUAACUGACCUGGGUCUAACUGGUUUAUGCAAUGUCUGUCCCAGACCCCUUGCUGGUUUAACUUAAACCAGAGCCCUCCAGCAUCCCAGAUGCUUUGCAGCCCUGGAUGGGGCUCUCUGCUCCAGAGAGCAGGGCUAGCCCUACCCCACUGCCCCCUAGCUGGAGCUUCAGCAGAGACUUGCAGGCACAGGAGUAUCUGCCUGGCUUCCCCUUCCCCCCCCCCCCCACUCCCUGCUCAAGCAGGGAUUCCUUCCCUCCCCUCUCCCACAGCUCGGAUCACAGCCAGCAUGUGGUACGCUAGCUAAUGCUGAGAGGUGUCUGUAUAAGACAGAUAGAACAGUGUCUGCUUAGGGCUUUUUGGAGCUAAUCAACAGGUAGCUGGUAAUGUCCCUCUGUUCCUUCCUUGGAAAAAGUUGUUUAAGAAGAGAUUGAACUAAUAAGGGAGGCUUUUGUUUUCUCGAUGAGGUGCUAAAAGCUUUGUUAUCAAUUCCCUGCUGGCUCCCUUGCUGGUCAGGAGCAGCAGGGGAGGAGGGGAGGGACCCCUCCCUAUUCAGAACAUCCUGCUGGGAACUGGCCACAGCCCCCCUCAGCUCAACACUGAGGAAGGGAAGGGAGGGCUGCUCUAAUGCCCUCUGGCUUUUAGCCUGCACCACUUCAGGCUUCUGCCUACAUUUCUUCAGUCCAGAGGGGAUGUCUGUGUGAUUACAAACCAGUUCAGCUCUGCCAGGUUAGACCAACUUGCAAAGAUUGAAUCAAUUCAGGCUCGGGCUUUUUUAAUGUCUGUUCCUAGCCUGGAAGUUCAGUGCACAUAAAUGGUUUUCAAAAUGGCCAAAACUGGGUUAGGAUAAAUCUGGAUGGAUGUAGUAUCAGGCUUAACUGAUUUAUGUUAAAUAAGUUUAUUGAACUUCUGUCCCAGAUCACGUCCAAAUUCAAGUUAACUCACAGUCCCCUGGCAUCCCAGGGUGUUCUUGCACCUCCCUUUGCAGGGUGGGCAGGCUAACCCUGGCCUAAGCUGCCUGCUCCAGCCAAGCAGGGAGUCAUGCUUUAGUGUCCCCUGGCUUCUGGUCUGGGCCACUGCAGGCAAGUGGCUGCAUUUCCAGAAUCAAAAGUGAAUGUCUGUACACUUGUUUAUCAGUUCAAUUUACGCAGCUUAGACUAUCUGGGAAAGGUUGAAUCGAUUCAGCCUUGAGCUUUUUGAUUGUUUGUACUUAGCUUAUAAGGUCAGGCAAGAAUAAAUCUCUGAUAUCAAAAGGAAUGGACACGGAUCCUUGGAAAUGAUUUCUGUAAAUUAGUUCUGCUGAGAAGUAGGGCUUAUUAGCGAAGUUGUUGUGCUGUACUAACAUGACCCUAGUGAUUCUAGCUUCAGACCUAGAGUAUGCAGAAACAGCUUUCGGCAUUGCGCCAUGUUGCGCCUAUUAGACGCACAUUUAGCUGUUCCGGUGCUAGAUAAGUUAACUAAAUGGCUGCGGGCGCAUCUGCAUGUGACGCUAUGGCGACACAGUGUUGGCGAGCACAAACCAUGAAGCCUAUGCUACAUCACCAUAGCAAUGAGCUACCUCACUAUAGUGUAUCACUAUGGCAAUGUAGCAUCUAAAAAGAACCGUGCACUGCCAGGACAGUGCAGUAAUGGCCGUUAUUGCAUUGUCAUUUAGUACUUCCUAAAACGAGAACUAAAUGACAGCGCAGUAACAACUGUGCUAUGGGUGGGGGCAAAUGGCCAGUCUCUAGGAUGUAGAAGGGGUGUUGGCGUGCAACAGUUUUAUAAAAUAAAACCAUCCCAGUUGUAUAAUAAAUUAGAAUUGAAAUAUGUAGGUUUGUUCAUGAUUUAUCCUUUUAAAAUGCUGAAAAUCGCUUGUCUUUUGCAUCAUUCUUUUUAGUUGCCGCUUAUCCUUAAGGGUGUCUUUUUGUAUUGCUAUUCCAUUAUUCCAUUGCAGAAAUAGCUCUUGGUCUUGCCCCAAACCCUACAUACUAAGGUAUGCACCCUUACAUUGUAAAUAAAUCAGAAUAAAAGUAUAAACUUCCUUCUAUCAGAUGCUGCAGGGGUAGGAGGAAAUACCUUUAAUCGCUUCCAACCGCUCAACCAGUUUUCAGAAUGUAAGCUUUAUUCUUAGUAGGAUUACUUGAAUAGAAUUUGGGAACCAAUCAGGAAACUUCAGUUAUAUAAUACAAAUAACUACAUGUCACAGCUUGAACAGCACCUAUCAUUCAAAGCCAAAGCCAGAUUACCUAGCCUUUCAGAGGAGAGAAGUUUCCUUCAGAUGGUGUUUCAAAAUCCCUUGGUUAAGAUUCCAGGAAGAAUUUGAUGUUUAAUGCAAACCAAACAUUUACAGUGUAUAUAUGUUUUUUACAUAUUGCAUUUUGGGAGCUGGUUGAACUGUAAAAAGCCUCAAUUUUCCCCUUUUUUUUCUGAUGUUUCCUUUCCAAAGGUUCUAAUAACCAGGUCUAAAUGCUGUACUGUGCAAUACCUCUUUUCUUCAGCCUGCAAGUUUCAUUCAGGCAAACCUUUCUGGCAGCCUUUACUCGUUCUAAACUUCCUUCAUGUAGCCAAUUUAUGCUUGUUGUCUUGCAGACCUUUUCUUUUUUUUUACCAUCAUUUUUGGAUUCAUUGGAAAUCAGACAAGCUGUUUCCAGUUAUACAGUAGGUCCCAUACACAGCCCUAGUUAUGCCUGGGCCGUAAUGCCUGGGCAGUUGGCAUUUUUGGCCUAAAUCCACAAACUGGUGUUAGAGCUAUACAUCCACAUAUGCAAACCAUUCCUGUAAGAGGCAGAAAUGAAAUUCUUCAUCUCUCCUAUGCAAUGUAAAUGAAUGCAUUCCACCUAGAUGGUAUUUGUGCCUUUUCCCUGUAAAUAGCCACUAUGUUAAUAAUAGCUGUCAAAAAAAAAGAAUAAUUCACAUGUUCUUUCUAGUGAUAGGAGGUAUGUUAUCCCCACCUCCUUGCAAUCCUAGUUCUGUUUUGCAACUACACUAAGUGCAGUAAAGCUUUUCACUUUGAGUAUGACAUUCUUUUAUUUUUAACUUGUUAAAUCACAUACUAAAAUUCUGUCUUUAUAUUUUUAAUAGAAGUACUUUCAUUUGUUUGACACAGAAUAACGGUUCACACGUUUUUUGUUUUGUUUUUUAAAUCCUUUUUUGGUCCAUCAUUGUUUACUUUGUAAAACCACUAAAGCAUUUCAAGGAAGUUGAAAUUUUCCCUGAAGCCUACUUGCUGAGCCUUAUUUAUCUGGCCCUUUGUAGUUUUUGUGUUAUGUUUCCAAAGCAGAAGACUGUACGCAUAUUUGCUGACUUUUCCAAAUAUUGGACAGGAAUUAAACACAUGUCUAUAUUACAUCCCUGUUAAGCCUUGGACCAUAACUGAGAAGCAAGCCCUGUCUAUUGACUUAUGCUCUGCCAAGUUGGUGAUGUACAAUUAGAGGCAGCAUGGACAGUUUUAAAGAGAUCUCAAGUGGGUAUUUCUAUACUACUCUCCAAUAGCAGAGCGUGAGAGCAGAGCUGAGGCAGUUGUUCGGCUUGCCUCUGAGGCAGCCCACUGGCUCAUUGGAGGACUUUGGCAUAUGGAGACCUUGAGCAAGUGAGAAUUAUUUGCUGGUGAUGGACCCAGGUUUAGCAGGGAGCUAGUACAGACAUGGCCUGAGUGUCUAUAUCAGUCGUUCUAUGAAAGAAUGAAUACAGAGCUUUCUCAAGUUCUAAAAUUAACACGACUAUGCAUAAUCAGAUCUGGUAUGGAAGUACUGGUAUGAAACUGCGUUUCAGCUUUUCAGGCUAUUCUUGCAUGAAAGGCAAAGGAGCUUUGUGAUAUCUUUUAUGACAUCAACUGCCCUUCUUCAGAUCACCUGACUUAAAAGGGAGGAACAAAGGAAGGGCCCUGGAUGCCCAACAACUCGUUCAACAGCUCUCCCAAUUAUACGGUUGGUUCAAUAAAAAAAAAAAUUACAGAAUCAUCG